GCUAGAUAUAACAUCUAGACCUGCAGAGAUGUCAUAGUCCCUACCUUAUACAUGAAGAUAUAUGUGUUUUUAAUACGUAUAUUGUCUAUAGACAGCUUCUUAUAUAACACAACUGUGUCUCAGGUACAGAGAUUGGGAACAUUUAUGAUUUCUAAUAUCUGUUUUUUAUUUGUAGUAAUCCCUUUUUCAAUAGACUGACCGCAGAUUUAAGACAUAACUGUACUGUAAAGAAAAAUCUAUAAGUUAAUGUAAUAAAUCACAUACUAUAACUGAUUAUUGCUAUUUAAAACUAUGAAAAAUACAUUAUGUUGAUUAUAAAACAGAAAUACAGAAUGGAGACAACCGUCUGUGGCUCAAGCUCGACUGCCCAUUUCUUUGAGUGGCCCCUCAAUGUUCUGGAAACGGGUGGAGGACAUUGUCUCCAUUAGAAUGGGUCCCCCUACGAUGCUUCGGCUGUUGAUCUGAAGUGCAUUCUGUGCUUUGGAAUCUCGGGGGCAAACUGUAUUUCUGUUAUUAAUUUUUAGUUUAGCAAUUCCCACCGCAACAUGGUUAACCUCUAUCCUAAAUUUCUGCACAAAAUUGAUAAAAGACAUUCCAAGAAAUAUUUUGCCAAAUAAAAAUAUAGAAAAUAUUGAUGAAGUUGAUGAAUAAUAAUAACAACAAAAAUAACAGUUUUUGAUUAAAAAACAAAUAAACAAUAAUCAUUUAUAAAAUAAUUUCCUCAAGCCCCCUUCCCCAAAAAUAAAAAAACAUAUAUUACCCUUAAAAUUUAUGAAUAAAGAAACAAAAAAUAACACAUACCCCAAACAUUGCAAACACAAAACCCCCAAAAACCUAACAAUAGUGUCUGUCAACAUCAUCCUGGGAGGGAUAAUACACUGCACUACAAUAGAAAUAAAAAUCCCUAUCAUCUAUAUCUCAAUGGGUUCCAUCUUUUCUUUUGUUCUUUUUUCUAAUGCGGUUUUAUAAUCCCUGAGACAAGUAGUUCUGGCCCUAGAGUGUUAUAUAUAUUAGCGUCUGUAGCAUGUAUAAGGGACAUGUUAUCAUACCUGUGUCUUUUUAUAGGUGAUUGAUGCCCGGUGAGAGGUUGAAAGGGACCUAUACCCCCGUCAGCUGCAGGAAAGGAACAAAGAGACAGGUGAUUGAUGCCCGGUGAGAGGGUGAAAGGGACCUAUACCCCCGUCAGCUGCAGGAAAGGAACAAAGAGACAGGUGAUUGAUGCCCGGUGAGAGGGUGAAAGGGACCUAUACCCCCGUCAGCUGCAGGAAAGGAACAAAGAGACAGGUAAUUAAU